rnacentral:rRNA from 1 species
GACGAACGCUGGCGGCGUGCUUAACACAUGCAAGUCGAACGAAGUGGCGAACGGGUGAGUAACGCGUAAUCAACCUGCCCUUCAGAGGGGGACAACAGUUGGAAACGACUGCUAAUACCGCAUACUGAAGGAGGGGUUUGCGUCUGAUUAGCUAGCUGGAGGGGUAACGGCCCACCAAGGCGAUGAUCAGUCACCGGUCUGAGAGGAUUGACGGCCACAAUGGGGCUGGAGCACUGCCCAGACUCCUACGGGGAGCAGCAGUGGGUAAUCUUCCGCAAUGGGCGAAAGUCUGGCGGAGCAAAGCCGCGGGAGUGAUGACAGCCUUCGGGUUGUAAAGCUCUGUUAAUCGGGACGCGGUACCGGAAUAGAAAGCCACGGCUAACUACGUGCCAGCAGCCGCGGUAAUAC